CUUCAUCGAGCCCAGCCACAGCGGUUCGUUGCCGGGGCGGUCCUGUCCGUAGGUGGCGAGGAGGGCCUGGGCCUC
rnacentral:antisense_RNA from 1 species